UACGGGGGGGGCAAGCGUUGUUCGGAAUUACUGGGCGUAAAGGGCGCGUAGGCGGUUGGAUAAGUCAGCUGUGAAAACCACGGGCUUAACUCGUGGCCUGCAGUUGAGACUGUCUGGCUUGAGUGUGGGAGAGGAGAGUGGAAUUCCUAGUGUAGAGGUGAAAUUCGUAGAUAUUAGGAAGAACACCGGUGGCGAAAGGCGGCCCACUGGAUCGGUGACUGACGCUGAGGUGCGAAAGCGUGGGGAGCAAACAGG
rnacentral:rRNA from 1 species